UGAUGCGGUCAUACCAAGGCUACUACACCAGAUCCCAUCAGAACUCUGAAGUUAAGCGCCUUUGGGCCGGAAUAGUACUGGGAUGGGUGACCU
rnacentral:rRNA from 6 species